rnacentral:rRNA from 1 species
GACGAACGCUGGCGGCGUGCCUAAUACAUGCAAGUCGAACGCACUCUCGUUUAGAUUGAAGGAGCUUGCUCCUGAUUGAUAAACAUUUGAGUGAGUGGCGGACGGGUGAGUAACACGUGGGUAACCUGCCCUAAAGUGGGGGAUAACAUUUGGAAACAGAUGCUAAUACCGCAUAAAACCUAACACCGCAUGGUGUAGGGUUGAAAGAUGGUUUCGGCUAUCACUUUAGGAUGGACCCGCGGUGCAUUAGUUAGUUGGUGAGGUUAAAGGGCUCACCAAGACCCGUGAUGCAUAGCCGACCUGAGAGGGUAAUCGGCCACACUGGGACUGAGACACGGCCCCAGGACUCCUACGGGAGGCAGCAGUAGGGAAUCUUCCACAAUGGACGAAAGUCUGAUGGAGCAACGCCGCGUGAGUGAAGAAGGUUUUCGGAUCGUAAAACUCUAGUGUUGGAGAGAAUGUAUCUGAUAGU